rnacentral:rRNA from 1 species
GACGAACGCUGGCGGCGUGCUUAAUACAUGCAAGUCGAACGGAAAGGCCCUGCUUUUGUUGGGUGCUCGAUUGGCGAACGGGUGAGUAACACGUGAGUAACCUGCCCUUGACUUUGGGAUAACUUCAGGAAACUGCGGCUAAUACCGGAUAGGAGCUCCUGCUGCAUGGUGGUGGUUGGAAAGUUUCGGCGGUUGGGGAUGGACUCGCGGCUUAUCAGCUUGUUGGUGGGGUAGUGGCUUACCAAGGCUUUGACGGGUAGCCGGCCUGAGAGGGUUACCGGCGACAUUGGGACUGAGAGACGGCGCAGACUCCUACGGGAGGCAGCAGUGGGGAGUAUUGCAGAAUGGGGGGAAGCGUGAUGCAGAAACGCCGCGUGCGGGAUGACGGCCUUCGAGUUGUAAACCGCUUUGGCCGGUAACGAAGCGUGAGUGACGGUAAUGGGUAAAGAAGCACCGGCUAACUACGUG